CGGACGGGUGAGUAACACGUGGAUAACCUACCUAUAAGACUGGGAUAACUUCGGGAAACCGGAGCUAAUACCGGAUAAUAUUUUGAACCGCAUGGUCCAAAAGUGAAAGACGGUCUUGCUGUCACUUAUAGAUGGAUCCGCGCUGCAUUAGCUAGUUGGUAAGGUAACGGCUUACCAAGGCAACGGUGCAUAGCCGACCUGAGAGGGUGAUCGGCCACACUGGAACUGAGACACGGUCCAG
rnacentral:rRNA from 1 species